rnacentral:rRNA from 1 species
GACGAACGCUGGCGGCGUGCCUAAUACAUGCAAGUAGAACGCACAGUUUAUACCGUAGCUUGCUACACCAUAGACUGUGAGUUGCGAACGGGUGAGUAACGCGUAGGUAACCUGCCUGGUAGCGGGGGAUAACUAUUGGAAACGAUAGCUAAUACCGCAUAAUAUUAAUUAUUGCAUGAUAAUUAAUGGAAAGGUGCAAUUGCACCACUACCAGAUGGACCUGCGUUGUAUUAGCUAGUAGGGGAGGUAACGGCUCACCUAGGCGACGAUACAUAGCCGACCUGCGAGGGUGGUCGGCCACACUGGGACUGUGACACGGCCCAGACUCCUACGGGAGGCAGCAGUAGGGAAUCGUCGGCAAUGGACGAAAGUCUGACCGAGCAACGCCGCGUGAGUGAAGAAGGUUUUCGGAUCGUAAAGCUCUGUUGUAAGGGAAGAACGGGUGUGAGAGUGGAAAGUUCACACUGUGACGGUAUCUUACCAGAAAGGGACGGCUAACUACGUG